AUUAUAUGAUUAUGUAUACACAUACAUAUGUGCACAUAGAAAGCCUGUGAAUAAGUAUCUCCAUGCCUGUGUCCAUGUUUUUAUGUUUGUGUUUAUGUACAGUAUAUGAAUGUAUAUACAAUGUGCACGUGUACAUAUGAAUACACAUAUAUAUGAAUCUCUAUGUAUCUAUAUGUAUACAUAUAAUAAAUUCAUGAUGUUAGAUGAACUCAUGAUGUCACACACAAAUGGAAAUAAAAAUAACACAAUCAAAGACAACAUGCAAUUCCACAAUCAAAGACAACAUGCAAUUCCACAUAGAAAAACAAUAAAUAAUUUCAGCCGCACCCAC
rnacentral:lncRNA from 1 species